rnacentral:lncRNA from 10 species
GGAGCACUGAACUGGGUGAGGAACCGAAUAUACAGGGAAUCUUCAAAGCCUGCUAGCAGAGAUGAAUAAGGCUGAAGAAGCAAGUCCCUGGAGAGAAAGGAAGAGAUGAGAGAGACCCCCAAGUUGUGUGAUCACCUCCAGCACACUGGAGACUGAGCCGUUUCACAAGAUCAUUCAUUCUAGGAGAGACCUUGGGAGGAGAAGUCAUGAGGACAGUCAACCAGCUCUUUGAAGAAGUCCACAUGCUGAGAAACUGAGGCCUCCUGCCAACAGCCUUGUGAGUGAAUCAUCUUGGAGGUGGAUCCUCCAGCACCUGUAAAACCUUCAGAUGACCACAGAUCUGGCUGACAUUUUGACCUCAAUGUUAUGAAAAAUCUUGAGGCAGAAGCACCCAGCUAAGCCAAUCCUGUAUUCUUCACCUACAGAAACUAUGAGGUACUAACACAUGCUUAUUGUUUCAAACUGCCAAGUUUUAGAGUAAUUUCUUAUGCAACAAUAGAUAACUAAUAAAACAAUGUUAACAAUAACCUGAUGUACACCCAUGAAAUAUGAUAUCCAGACAAAAUUAGAAAGUGUUUAUGUAUGCACUGCAUUGUUAUGUUUCUUUAUAGAACAAAAAGAAUCCUAUGUUUUUCGGAUCCUUUUCUCAAGUCAGUGCCAGUGAUGCAGGGCCCAUGAGCCCGGAAAUUGGGGCUCAGCCUGGGAGGGUUCUUGGCUCCACCCGGGAAAGUAUUCAAGGGUGGACCAGUGGUGCCAGAUAGCAACUUUUAUUGAAGAGGCCGUGUAUGGCAGCAGCAGAGGCACUGGUCCUUGUGGAGCAGAGAUACUCCAUAGGCAGUGUGCCCAGAGUAGCAGCUCAGAGGCAGUUCUUCAGUCAUAUUUAUACCCACUUUUAAUUACAUGCAAAUUAAGAGGUGAGUUAUUCAGAAAUUUCUAGAAAAGGGGUGGUAACUUCCAGGUCAUUGACAUGGAAAGUGGGGGGUAACUUCUGCAUAUUGCCAUGGCAGUGGUAAACUGACAUGGCACUGGUGGGCAUGUCUUAUGGAAAGGUGCUUUUGCCUCUUCUUU